GAUCAGGAAGUGUGAGGGCGCGGGGCGGGCCGGAGCCGAGGCCGUGCGCCCGCGGGGAGCCCGGGAGCCCGGGGAGGCGCGCGCCGCAGCCUCGCAGCUCCGGGGGCAGCUCCGGGGGCAGCUCCGGGGGCAGCUCCGGGGGCAGCUCGCGGCCCGGGCAUGACAGCGAGUCCUCCCGAGAGCCCGGCAGGUGCGCGGCCCGCGGCCGAGAUGGGCUCAGCUCCUGCAGCGGCCACGGACGCGAAGCACGACCCGCGCUCGCCCCGGACGGCCUCGGCCUGACCACGGCUGCUCGCAGCGCGGGGCCGAAGGUGGCCAGCUGGCCAGGGGCAGGAGAUGCAGAGCACCAUCAAUUACCUAUGGCACACGGACGACCUGCUGGGGCAGGGGGCCACUGCCAGUGUGUACAAGGCCCGAAACAAGAAAUCCGGGGAGCUGGUUGCUGUGAAGGUCUUCAACACGGCAAGCUACCUGCGGCCCCGCGAGGUGCAGGUGAGGGAGUUUGAGGUCCUGCGAAAGCUGAACCACCAGAACAUCGUCAAGCUCUUUGCAGUGGAGGAGACGGGGGGCAGCCGGCAGAAGGUGCUGGUGAUGGAGUACUGCUCUAGCGGGAGCCUGCUCAGCGUGCUCGAGAGCCCUGAGAAUGCCUUCGGGCUGCCCGAGGACGAGUUUCUGGUGGUGCUGCGCUGUGUGGUGGCUGGCAUGAACCACCUGCGGGAGAAUGGCAUCGUCCACCGCGACAUCAAGCCUGGAAACAUCAUGCGCCUCAUGGGGGAGGAAGGGCAGAGCAUCUAUAAGCUGACGGACUUUGGGGCCGCCCGGGAGCUAGAUGAUGAUGAGAAGUUUGUCUCCGUCUAUGGCACUGAGGAGUACCUGCACCCCGACAUGUAUGAGCGGGCAGUGCUUCGCAAGCCCCAGCAGAAGACAUUCGGGGUAACCGUGGAUCUCUGGAGCAUUGGGGUAACCCUGUACCACGCAGCCACUGGCAGCCUGCCCUUCGUCCCCUUUGGUGGGCCACGGCGCAACAAGGAGAUGAUGUACCGGAUCACCACCGAGAAGCCGGCGGGGGCCAUCGCGGGCACCCAGCGGCGGGAGAACGGGCCCCUGGAGUGGAGCUACGGCCUCCCCAUCACCUGCCGGCUGUCCCCGGGGCUGCAGAGCCAGCUGGUGCCCAUCCUGGCCAACAUCCUGGAGGUGGAGCAGGCCAAGUGCUGGGGCUUUGACCAGUUCUUUGCGGAGACCAGUGACAUCCUGCAGCGAGUCGUUGUCCAUGUCUUCUCCUUGUCCCAGGCGGUCCUGCACCACAUCUACAUCCAUGCCCACAAUACGAUAGCCAUCUUCCUGGAGGCAGUAUAUGAGCAGACCAGUGUGGCUCCCCAGCACCAGGAGUACUUCUUUGAGGGUCACCUCUGCGUCCUUGAGCCCAGCCUGUCAGCGCAACACAUCACCCACACGACCGCAAGCAGCCCCCUGACCCUGUUCAGCAAGGCCAGUGAGACCCCCAAGGGGCUGGCCUUCAGGGACCCCGCUCAGGACAUCUCCAAGUUCUUCCCCAAAGUGGACCUGCAGGCAGAUUACACCACCGCCAAGAGUAUACUGGGUGCUGGCUACCAGGCCCUGUGGCUGGCUCGGACCUUGCUGGCCGGGCAGGAGAUGAUGCUUCGGGGACUGCACUGGUUUGUGGAGACGCUCCAGGCUACAUGCAGACGGACGCUGGAGGUCACACGGAUGGCUCUCCUCUUCCUCAGCAGCAGUCUGGGCACCGAGAGGUUCAGCAGUGUGGCUGGGAUGCCUGAGAUGCAGGAGCUGAAGAGGGUCACAGAGCUGAGGUCCAGGCUGCGGGCUUUGGUGGAGGCCCUCUCCAGAUGCUCCCACAAUAUCACAGAGACCCAGGUGAGCCUGAGCAACCUGAGCUCUGAGCUGGUGAAGAACCGGGAUCAGUCCCUGUCUCCUGCCCACAGCAUCCAGCAGAUUCAGUGUUGUUUGGACAAGAUGAACCUCAUCUACAAACAGUUCAAGAAAUCCAGAAUGAGACCAGGGCUUGGCUACAACGAGGAGCAGAUUCACAAGCUGGAUAAUUCGUGUAUGUGCGAGCCUCAUGCCGUCCUUGUCUGGAGAGGCGGCCCUACUGUGGAUCCAAGGGCUGGGCGUUUCGGCGGUGGAGACCCAGGGAUGCUAGCCGUGGGCACAGGGAAGUGCAUGAGACCAGGAACCAUUUGCGCAUGGUCAGCUGUUCUGUGGCUGCCUACAACACAGAAGCCCAGGGAGUCCAGGAGAGCCUCAGCAAGAUCCUCGACUGGUUAUCUCACCAGCGUCUUCAGGACAGAACAAAGGAGGCUCAGGCCUCACCACCCCCCACAGCCCCCUAUCCCAGCCCUGCACUGACAGACCUGGUUCUCCACAUGCAAGAGCUCUGUGAGGAGAUGAAACUGCUGGCCUUUGACCUGCAGGACAACAAUCGCAUCAUUGAAGGGCUAAGUAGGCCCCCAUCGGCUCCUGACUCCUGACAUCUGAGCCCCAUGGGGUGCCCAACAUCCUGAAGCAUUAGAAUCGUUCAAACACUGCUCUCCUGCCUGCAGUGUGGGGCCUAACACAGGAUGAUGUCUGGUCCCGUCUCGUCAGCCUACCUCCCUCCUGGCCAACAACUGGGAGAUGUCACCAGCAUUACCUUCCACUGCCUUUCUGGCAGCAGCAGCACAGCAGGCCCCAGGGCACCAGGCCACCCCUGUCAGGACCCACUGCCUGGGCUGACCUUUGUGCCUCACACAGGCUCAGGUACAUCUCCAUCGCUCCGGCCUGCAUAGCUGAAGCCAGCAGGCCACGGGGAGAAGAGGCUCGGAUCGGCCCGCCCAACCACCUCCUCUGGUUUACAGGGCUUCGAUUCUCAGGGAACAGAAGAGGAGGCCUCUGGGAAUUUCCCUAGGAUGCUGGGUCAGACGACCUCAAUUCAGUCUUCCUUCCUCUUAAGGGGUUUCACGUUGAACAUCCUGUGAUUUCCGGGAGCCCCCACUCUCAGCCUCAGGCAUUAUAGAGCCUGAUUUGUUUGGGGGUUUGGCCUGGGUGCUAGGUAGGGCCUCAAGGAUCCUCACCUUCCUCUCUCCCUGAGGCACUGUCAGGCUCUGGGAUAUGCAUCCAGCUGUGGUCAGCAGGGAGCACAGGCCUGUAAGUCCAGAUCAGAGACCUGUACCCUCAAGAAGUGGAAUAAACAUGGCCUUCUUUUCUA